rfam:Drosophila virilis strain TSC#15010-1051.87 Ctg01_14412, whole genome shotgun sequence.
GUACUACUGUUUUUAGUGAGUGAGGGUCCAGUGUUUCACAUUCGUUUUUUCAAGUAUUUGUGACUAGAUCCACACUCAUUAACAACGGUAGUUC